AUAUUAAAAUCGAAUACAAAAAUCGAUUUUCACUUUAAAAAAAAUCGAUUAUUUUUCACAUCCCUAUUAAUUUUAUAAACUUAAUCGGCCAUUUUGAAUGUGGUUUAUGCUAGACUAGCGGUAAUUAGUUUUACAGUGCAAAGUUUACUUUAUAAAUCCGUUUCUUUUUUAUUUUCACGUGAAAAUUUAUAGUGAUGGCGUCUACAAGUUUUACUCGUGAAAAUGAUUUUGAGGACGAUGGGUCCAUUGUGAAUCGUGACUUGAAUAGUGAGGAAGUGAUCACAUUUUCCGGAGCAAAACUCACUUGGAGGUGUUCCAAUGA